UACGAAGGGGGCUAGCGUUGCUCGGAAUCACUGGGCGUAAAGGGUGCGUAGGCGGGUCUUUAAGUCAGGGGUGAAAUCCUGGAGCUCAACUCCAGAACUGCCUUUGAUACUGAAGAUCUUGAGUUCGGGAGAGGUGAGUGGAACUGCGAGUGUAGAGGUGAAAUUCGUAGAUAUUAGGAAGAACACCAGUGGCGAAGGCGGCUCACUGGCCCGGUACUGACGCUCAUGUGCGAAAGCUAGGGGAGCAAACGGG
rnacentral:rRNA from 1 species